CCCGGCCUCGCGGAAGGGGCGCGACCACCGUAUGUCCUGUUCCUGCGCUUCCCAAGCUGGGUAGAAACGGCGAGAGGCUGGGGGUUAGAAACGACAGGUUCCCGGCGGGCUGUGCCGGGGCUUCGCUGUGUGACCUUGGGCUGGCGUCUGGGCUCUCUGGGCCCUUGUUUCCGCGAGUUAAACGUAGGGGCGGGGGAGUUUCUCUGGCCCUGCCGCCUGUGACCUAAGGAGCCCCGUGACCUCUCCGACCCGAGCCCACCCCCGGCCCAGUCUGCGAGCAGCUCCGGGACAAGCACUCCCGGCGAAGACAUGUAGGCUCUCAGAGCCUGCGUUUCCCUCUGUAGAGCAGGCCUAGUUACUGUCUUCAGGGUGCACGCGUCUCCGUCCCCGACCCGCACCCUCACCGCCGGGAGAUGAGUUCUUAAACAACCAGAAGAUACUGCAGGUUCAAAGUCCCGGAGGCCAGAAGGAGCUUGCAUUCAAAUAAGAAAAUAUAUUUUCUCAAGGAAAUAUAA
rnacentral:lncRNA from 10 species